CGGAUUUCUUCGGAUUGAAGCAAUUGUGACUGAGCGGCGGACGGGUGAGUAACGCGUGGGUAACCUGCCUCAUACAGGGGGAUAACAGUUGGAAACGGCUGCUAAUACCGCAUAAGCGCACAGUACCGCAUGGUACCGUGUGAAAAACUCCGGUGGUAUGAGAUGGACCCGCGUCUGAUUAGGUAGUUGGUGGGGUAACGGCCUACCAAGCCGACGAUCAGUAGCCGACCUGAGAGGGUGACCGGCCACAUUGGGACUGAGACACGGCCCAAACUCCUACGGGAGGCAGCAGUGGGGAAUAUUGCACAAUGGGGGAAACCCUGAUGCAGCGACGCCGCGUGAGCGAUGAAGUAUUUCGGUAUGUAAAGCUCUAUCAGCAGGGAAGAAAAUGACGGUACCUGACUAAGAAGCCCCGGCUAACUACGUGCCAGCAGCCGCGGUAAUACGUAGGGGGCAAGCGUUAUCCGGAUUUACUGGGUGUAAAGGGAGCGUAGACGGCAUGGCAAGCCAGAUGUGAAAGCCCGGGGCUCAACCCCGGGACUGCAUUUGGAACUGUCAGGCUAGAGUGUCGGAGAGGGAAGCGGAAUUCCUAGUGUAGCGGUGAAAUGCGUAGAUAUUAGGAGGAACACCAGUGGCGAAGGC
rnacentral:rRNA from 1 species